rnacentral:piRNA from 1 species
UUGCUCAAACAAGCCUUGUGGGUAGCUUG